GAUGAACGCUGGCGGCGUGCCUAAUACAUGCAAGUCGAGCGAACAGACGAGGAGCUUGCUCCUCUGACGUUAGCGGCGGACGGGUGAGUAACACGUGGAUAACCUACCUAUAAGACUGGGAUAACUUCGGGAAACCGGAGCUAAUACCGGAUAAUAUAUUGAACCGCAUGGUUCAAUAGUGAAAGACGGUUUUGCUGUCACUUAUAGAUGGAUCCGCGCCGCAUUAGCUAGUUGGUAAGGUAACGGCUUACCAAGGCAACGAUGCGUAGCCGACCUGAGAGGGGGUAGGGCCACCCGGGAGGUGACAGCCGGGCCAGGCACCUAGGGACGGCAGCGGUAGGGAAGGGUCCGAAAUGGGGGAAAGCUUGACGGAGCAACGGCAGGUGGGUGAAGAAGGUCUGCGGAUCGUAAAACUCUGUUAUUGGGGAAAAACAAAUGUGUAAGUAACUAAGCGCGUCUUGACGGUACCGAUAAAGAAAGCCACGGCUAACUACGU
rnacentral:rRNA from 1 species